AUCUGUUCUCCAAGUCAACCUCCCCCUAAAAAAACUCAUCUACACAGCUGAGUCGCCCCCGACGGCCACCACCGCGCCUCCAUCCCACCGCCGCCCCCACUGCCCUCCACCUCCGAGACGCCCACUAUCCCCCACUACCAAUAACCACCGCGCCCCAUCCAUCUCCGAGACGCCCACUACCACGCCAUCCCCCCCUUCGCCCCGCGAAAUCCAUUCCCCUCAUCCUGGUUCCUUUUGAAGGCUCGAUCUGUUCCCUUCCGUCCCCAAGGCCCGGCCACUCUCGUCCACUGCAUCCCGUGUGAGUACAGUCGUUUAUUCAGGCCAGUAAUCCAUCGACUGCUUUGUAUGAUAUUGCCUUAGUUCUGCAAUCUAUACACUGGAAUAGCUCUUCCGAUUGAUUUCCUUGUCACAUGUUUCUUUUUUGUGGGCUUGUUCUGUUCUGCGACCCAAGUUGCAGAGGGCAUGCCCACAACAUGUUCCGAUUGAUUUCCCUGUCCGAAAAUACAUACUUGUACCAGGAUGGUGAUGGACUUGUUGACCGUAUACCUGCACUAGAAGAUGGAAAUGAAGAGGUGAGGGAAACGAGAGACCAGACUGAUGAAUCUCUUGCAAGACUAGACCAGGAGGGCACCAGAAAUAAGCGUUGACACUCAGUUCCCUUGAGAAGACGGUGUGCUUCACUCCAGGUCCUCCGCUGAUCGUAGAGCCACCAUCCAUUGUGUUUGAAUGGUGGUGUGCACUUGAUGAUGCUCUUGGCCAUGAUCACGAGGUCGAUUAUGGUGUGUGGUGGUUAGCAAGAUCUAUAGAUGGUUCUAGACUUCUUCUGAUCCAUAC